UCUCUUCAAUAAUCGUUAACUGAAUCGAAUCGAGCGAAGAAGAGAGAAUAAGGAAAGCGCGGAAGGAUUUAUAGUUCAUAGAUACAAUUCCUUUGAUGCUAAGUAUCAGCUUUCCGAGCUAAAGGAAGAAGAAAGAAGAAGCUUGAGUUGUUGAGUUUAGCAAUGGGAGCCUUUAUCAACCUCGUUGAUUCUCCUAUGUUUCAGAAACAGAUACAUGCUUCAGAACAAUCAACAGAGGACCUGAAAGAACGUUGUCUACAAUUAUAUAAAGGGUGUAAGAAGUUUAUGGAUUCUUUGGGACAAUCAUGUAUUGGAGAUACCAUGUUUGCAGAUUCCGUAGAAGCAUUUGGUGGUGGCCAAGAUGACCCUAUUAGUGUUUCAAUAGGAGGUCCAGUAAUGUCCAAGUUCGUUUCUGCAAUUCGUGAACUUUCUACAUACAAGGAGUUCCUUCGCUCUCAAGUAGAACAUGUAUUGAUUGACCGACUCAAUCACUUUUUAUCCAUUGAUAUGCAAGAUGCCAAGGAUUCUCGGCGACGAUUUGACAAAGCAAUGCAUACUUAUGAUCAGGCUCGAGAGAAGUGUUCCUCUUUGAAAAAGAGCUCACGUGAUGAUGUUGUUGCCGAGCAAGAAGAGGAUCUUGUGAACUCAAAAUCAGCCUUUGACCGGAGUCGUUUCAAUCUAGUUAAUGCUCUCAUGAAUAUUGAAACAAAAAAGAAGUACGAGUUUUUGGAAUCUUUUAGUGCUAUUAUGGAUGCUCACCUUAGAUAUUUCAAGUUGGGGUAUGAAUUGUUAAGACAGUUGGAGCCCUUCAUUCAUCAGGUAUUGACAUAUGCUCAACAAUCAAAAGAACUUGCCAAUAUUGAACAAGACAACCUUGCAAGAAGAAUUCAGGAUUUCAGAACACAAGCAGAACUUGACCAAUUACAUGCUUUGAGUGAUGUAAAAAUUCCAACGAAUAUAGUUGGUCAUAAUGGGAUUGGCAUGACUUCCUACAAGAAUAUAGACGCAAUUAUACAGUCCACAGCUAAAGGAGAGGUCCAGACAAUCAAACAAGGUUACCUAUUGAAACGUUCUUCCAGUUUGAGGGCAGAUUGGAAAAGGCGGUUUUUUGUUCUUGAUGGUCACGGGACCUUAUUCUAUCACAUGCACACGGGUCCACCAUCACACAAUUCUGUGAGUUCAGUGGAACAUAAUAAUCGUGUAUUUGGACGAUUUCGGCACCGACAUCAAAGAACAUCAUCAUUUAGUGAAGAAAAAUCAGGACUUCAUACUGUGGAUCUUCAAACUGCAACCAUCAAAAUUGAUGCAGAAGAUGCAGAUCUACGCCUUUGCUUCAGAAUAAUUUCCCCAUCCAAAACAUACACCUUGCAAGCAGAAAAUGAAGCUGAUAGGAUUGAUUGGAUGAAUAAAAUUACAGGUGUCAUUGCGUCAUUGUUGAACUCUCAUCUGCAGCAGAUGAAUCCCAGGGAAACAGUUAAUGAGAAUACUAUCACAGCUUCUGAUGUUUCCGCCGAUAUGCUACAACUUGGGAUCCAUGAAAGAGCACCCAAUGACAAGAAAGGCAACCAGGUGGAAUGUGUUUCGAAGAUUCUCAGAGGAAUUUCUGGAAAUGAUGUUUGUGCAGAAUGUGACACCUCUGAUCCUGAAUGGGCGUCUCUUAAUCUUGGGGUUUUAAUAUGUAUUGAAUGCUCUGGUGCUCACCGAAAUCUUGGUGUUCAUAUCUCAAAGGUGAGGUCUAUAACAUUAGAUGUCAAGGUUUGGGAACCUACACUCUUGGAUCUGUUUCAGGCGUUGGGCAAUUCUUAUUGUAAUUCUGUAUGGGAGGAAUUGCUGUUUCAGAAUCAUGGGGGAGAGGAGGAAGAAAAUACUUCUUCAUCAAUCAGAAAACCAUCUCCAAAAAAUACCAUCCAACAAAAAGAGAAAUUCAUUCAUGCCAAGUAUGUAGAUAAACAGCUUAUUAAAAAAGAUGCAGCUGUAUCUAUAAUUUCUGAAGCUACCAGCAUAUGGGAAGCAGUAAAGAGAAAUGACUUGCGAGAAGUAUAUCGUCUUAUUGUUAAAUCGGAGCAAACUGUCGUUAACAUAGGAUAUGAUGAUAUUAUCGAUGCCAAUUUACUCCAUUUUGGGAAUACUGAAGAAGAUAAAAGCUCAUCAUCUUCUUUAAAAAUGAGAGAGUAUGAUCCAGGAUUAUGCAAAAAAACGAAGACUGAUAGUUUAUCUGAAAGUUGCCUUCAAGGUUGCUCAUUACUACAUCUGGCAUGUAGAUGUGGAAAUAAGAUGAUGGUGGAGCUAUUACUGCAAUUUGGUGCCCACAUGAACAGUUGUGACUAUCAUGGGAGAACUCCUUUACACCAUUGUAUUGGCAGAAGAGACAACAUGUUGGCAAAGUUCCUACUUAGAAGGGGUGCACAUUCAUCUAUCAAAGAUGGUGGGGGCUUUUCCGCUUUGGAAAGGGCAAUGGAAAUGGGAGCAAUCACAGAUGAAGAGCUUUUUAUCUUGCUCACUGGAUCUGAAUAGGCAGCAGCAGGUAGACACUAAUCUGGAUUAUACUUAAGGACUUGUUUGCUACAAUUGAAGAUUUGGCCCUCUGAACCCUAAUUGGGAGAUAAUUACUCACCAUGCUUCCCGGAGGGCUUAAAAUAAUGGAGCUUUUGACCCUGUUCAGUAGCAACAGGUAGCACGGGUGCAGGCUGUUGAAUGUCAAACAAACUAAUGAUUGGAAUACUUUUGUUAUCUUCGUAAUUAAUGCAUAUGGAAAUCAGUCUAAUGGUUUAUUUAUUGUUAGUUGAAAUGUAAAAUAUAUGUUUUCGUCGAGAUGUUAUUUCACUGGCCUUAAUUUGUUGUGUUUUUUAGAGGCAGCAAGUUUCAGAUAUGUUCCAAUUGAAACCGUCCUAUAUUUGGUUUGGGCAACAUAAAUGCAGAGAGUUUGCACUUUGAAUCCUUUAAUGCAGCAAUCUUUGUCUGGUUUUCUUGUC